AAGAGGUUGUGAUACCUCUGUUUCCUACAGAGGAAACAGAGGAGAGGGUGUGGGUGACGUCGGGGAGAAGAAGGGGAGGAAGGAGAAGAAGAGAAGAAGAAGAAAGGAAGGAAAAGGAAGAGGAGAAGGGAAGAAAGUAGCUGCGGCUGCGGUUGUGGCAGCUGCAGCUGUGGCAGGGAAAGAAGAAGAGAAAGGAAGAAGGGGAGGAGAGGAAGAAGAGUAGGGGCUGCGGCUGCGGCGAUGGCAGCUGCAGUUGGAAGAGAAGAAGGAGAGGAAGAUGAGCAGGGGAGGAAGAAAAGGCUGUGGCCGUGGCUGAGGCUGCGACUGCAGCAUGCAGCUGGGAAAGAAGAGAAGGAAAGGAAGAAGAAGAGAAAGGAAGAAGGGAAGGAGAGGAAGAAGAGAAGGGGCUGCGGCUGCGGCGAUGGCAGCUGCAGUUGGAAGAGAAGAAGGAGAGGAAGAUGAGCAGGGGAGGAAGAAAAGGCUGUGGCCGUGGCUGAGGCUGCGACUGCAGCAUGCAGCUGGGAAAGAAGAGAAGGAAAGGAAGAAGAAGAGAAAGGAAGAAAACGGGAGCACAAAACGAAACAGAGAGAGGACACGGAGAAAAAGUAGAAGGAUUUGGGCUGGCACCUUCCUUGGAUCUUCGGAUCGAAAUCUUUGAAAGGUCAGCUUGUCACUCUUCGAGAUGUUUGAUUUGGGCUGAGGCAGUGGAUAGCUAUUCAGAAUAAUGGGCAAGUCUGGUUGGUUAUUACGAUAUUGUUGUAUAAGUAUGUCUUGUAUGUAAUGAAAUGUUGUCGAUGAACCGAAAUGGAUAUACUAUGUCCAAGUGUUAGGAGAUCUCUCUUAUUUGGAAUUUCAGAAUGUUAAGUCUAAUUUAUGGUGAUAUGAACUUGUGGUGAAUAGUUGGAGUUCUGAUUGUAUAAUUUAUUUAGCUUGUGGAUUUAUAAAUGUUGUUCAUGUUUGUCAA